ensembl:lncRNA
AGCCUGUAGAAAAGGCAGCUCCAAGGAGACCUUAUAGUGGCCUUCCAGUACUUAAAGCAUUGUCUUAACAGAAGAACAAAAGGAAACGUUCAAAUACAUACCCUGGGUGAACCUAACAGGAUGCAAGAGGCCAUCUGAGCUGCACUCUUCAAACCCACAGGAAACCCUCCUCUACUAUGUCCCGAGAACAAAGCCUCCUCCAGUCAUGUUGAUAAGAUGGAUCUUGUUGUACAGCCUUCUAGUAAGGCUGGCUCAGAGCAACAAUCAAGAUUCUGAAAAGUCUGAAAACAUCACCACACCUUCAUCAAAAAUUUUAGAUGCCUCUACUAAGUCAAAAGAACAUGGAAAACACAAGACAUUGCACAUUAUUUAUGCUUCAGUACCCGUGGGUCUAUGUUGUCCAUUCAUCUUCAUAUGCGUGUUUUGGAGUCUAAGGAGGUACUAUGGAAAGCGUAAGAGAACUCCAUCAGCACCACAGAGACAAGAGAGCCGGGUCAGAAGGCUAUCAGCUCUUCCAUCCCACGCUGAUGGGACAACUCCAGAUACAGAUGAAAGCUCCUCACUUUACUGUUCCAUGUCUAGCCCACCUCAGCUCUUGCCUGUCAACAAGAUUUAUGACAGUGUUCCUCAACGUAAUGCUCAGGAGACAGCAUCUAACUCACCUUCUAAUGAUCCUUCCAUCCCAGCUUCACUUGAAAGCCAAGAUGUCCUCAUAUAUGCCUCACUAAACCAUUCUGCUUCUACAAAUAAAUACCAGAGAAGGAAGUUCUCUAUAGAAAAUGAAUUUAUAGAAUAUGCCUCUAUUAAGGUAAAUAAAUAAAUACGGCAGACUUCACCAAACAGCCAUUUUGUGUGUAUUCUCAGGUUUAUCUUCCAUCCAGAAUACCUUUCCUUUCUCUCCCGGGAAAGCUUUCCUUUUGUUUAGAAGAACCUGUGGAUGCUCCCCCACUACAGACAGGAAUUCAAAACACAGCCUGUGUCAUGCAGAUGGGUGGGUAAUUGCACUGGAUAUUCGUCUCUUAAAUGGAGGAAUAAAAGGAAACACAGACAGCUUUCCUGUUCUUCCUCUGCCCAGGAUUCUGCUUCCAGUCUGACCUUUUGUUGUGGUUUAAACAGAGGCAAAGGGGAGGAGAAGGGAGGGCAUUCUCAGGUCAUAAACAUAUAAAAGGAAUCCAUGAGGAAGACGAUACUGAGCCAAAUUAAUUCCUCCAAAGUAUAAAUAUGCUAAAUAUAAACAUACUAAAUAUGCCCGGGGGAGAAAUUUUCUCUGAGGUUCUAAGAACACCCGUACCAGGAUUCCGUUUCUCAUUCCAGUUCAUCUCCUUGCAGAGUUCCUUGAACACCAUGAACGCACAAUCCUCGUAUUAACUAAAAUUAUGUAAAUACUUUCAUUUGUUUGCUUCUUGUGGGGAACAGGCAAGAAAAUGGAAAAGGUUGUUUUCCUUUUAUUAAGAAGUCACACAAAUAACGUGUGAGAGUGUUCUCUUUUUUCCUCCUGGUGUGAUGACCGGUUAGCUAAGUUAAUGCAUAUUCCUUUUGUCCAUGAUGAGUCCAUGGAAAUAACAAAUGCUGAGCAGUGACUGAUCACAG